rnacentral:rRNA from 1 species
UACGUAGGGGGCAAGCGUUAUCCGGAUUUAUUGGGCGUAAAGAGCUCGUAGGCGGCCGUUCGCGUCGGAUGUGAAAGCUCAGGCUCAACUCUGAGACGCCAUUCGAUACGGGACGGCUAGAGGUAGGUAGGGGAAAGUGGAAUUCCUGGUGUAGCGGUGAAAUGCGCAGAUAUCAGGAGGAACACCGGUGGCGAAGGCGGUUCUCUGGGACGGUACUGACGCUGAGACGCGAAAGCGUGGGGAGCAAACAGG